CCAAAGAAUAGCAAACUGACUUUACCUUGAGAAAACCUAUACCCUUGGAAAGAAAAUGAGAAAGGAAGACAAGAGAAACGAAGCAAAGAAAAAAAAGAAGAAUGGAAGGUUCGACCUAGUGAACCCGAGACAAGGAAGCAAGACUCUUCAAGGAUUCAAAGGACUUGAGGUAUGCAUGCAAGUGGAUCUUGUAAUUCAUGGUGAUUUUGAGCUAGAUAAGCAAUAGCUAUGAUGACCAUGGAUGUGAGGAAAUUGCAAGCUAUCUGUGUGGAACUCAAGCUAAAACCAAAAGGAAGUUGUGCAAGUGAAGAAAGUUUGUCGUAGUGGCCUGUCGGGCAAGGCAACGAGUGACUGGCAAGUAGGGUUAGCUAGAUACGCACUUGAAUCAAUAGCGAUGUAGCGUCCCACUAUUGUAAGGUGAGUAAGGGGUGUCGAUUUCCAAAUUUUCAUAUCAUAUCAUAUAUAUAUAUAUUACUUUACAGUGGAUAAACGUGUUGAUUUAUUUUAAAUGCGAUUUGUGGAUAACAUGAGCUGGUAGAUAUCCUAGGAAUUUUUGAAUGUCAAAGUAUUUAAAAUUGUCUUGAUCAUAUAUAUUCAAGUUAUGUACGUAAAGGAUUUUAAAACCAGGAAACAAGCUUUUUACUACAAUUUCUAUCAAAAUGUGCCUUGAUGAUUGUGUGAUGUGCAUUCAUGAAUCAA